rnacentral:rRNA from 1 species
AUUGAACGCUGGCGGCAGGCUUAACACAUGCAAGUCGAGCGGAGAUGAGGUGCUUGCACCUUAUCUUAGCGGCGGACGGGUGAGUAAUGCUUAGGAAUCUGCCCAUUAGUGGGGGACAACAUUCCGAAAGGAAUGCUAAUACCGCAUACGUCCUACGGGAGAAAGCAGGGGAUCUUCGGACCUUGCGCUAAUAGAUGAGCCUAAGUCGGAUUAGCUAGUUGGUGGGGUAAAGGCCUACCAAGGCGACGAUCUGUAGCGGGUCUGAGAGGAUGAUCCGCCACACUGGGACUGAGACACGGCCCAGACUCCUACGGGAGGCAGCAGUGGGGAAUAUUGGACAAUGGGCGGAAGCCUGAUCCAGCCAUGCCGCGUGUGUGAAGAAGGCCUUUUGGUUGUAAAGCACUUUAAGCGAGGAGGAGGCUACUUAGAUUAAUACUCUGGGAUAGUGGACGUUACUCGCAGAAUAAGCACCGGCUAACUCUGUGCCAGCCGCCGCCGUAA